GUGAGAUACAUUUCUCUAAGUGCAUCUUGUGGCUGCAAGUGGGAGAGGCAGGGCCUGAAUCUGGCCAAGAGAUCUCAGGACAAAGCUAAAUCGCAUUUCCAAAGCCAGUCCUUAGACUUGUUCAAGUGUAAGCAGCUUUCACUAAACAGAAGUUUGAUGAGCCGAGCAGGAGUGAAUCAGAAACACGAGGCUGAUGUUUGUCUUCAUCUGCAAGGGGGUUUGGCAGUCUCCAGGCUCCCUUGGCAAGCAGGAUUUGGGCGCUGCCAAAACCUGGAGCUCUGGCGUGAUAGCGUGACCCUUCCGGUCAGGCCAGGCCUCCCGCCCGCCUUCCUGCUGUUCAAAUCAGAGUCUCGGCCUCUCAUGGCCUCUCCUGCUGCUUCACCCUUGAGCCCCGAGGACAGAGUGGCAGGAGGCGUCUCUGUAACCACAUCACGUGUGGGGGAAAAAUGGCACAGAGCGCUCUUUCCUGGAGCGCGGUCAAUGCAGCAGUACCCCAGGUGCCAGGAAACCCAAGCCUUGGAAACUGUGGCUGCAGGUUCCAUCCCCAGGUUGUGGGUGUGGACCACAUUUGCACCAGCAGCUGGACAAAGGUGAGAGGCUGAGGGCUGCCCAGGCCCCUGGAGGACCAGAGAGAAGCCCGCUUAGGGCAGGCUGGCUACUUGUUUGUCCUGAUAAUGAAACUGAGGCUCACAGAGGACAAGUAAUUUCCUUGAGGCUUUAUGGAGACCAGAAUUCAGAGAUUCUGUCUUCAAAACUGUUUUCCUGGUGUGCUCUCCUGGAAGUCACAAUGUCACUCUGACCUUGAAGAAGAAGGGGCCUCUCCACAGUGUGUCUUGGGCUUCCUCACAGCAUGGUGGCUGACUUCUAAGAGUGAGAAUACUAAGAGGCAGAAGGGGAGAUGUGCCAACUUCUUAAAGCCCAGACCUAGAAACUGUACUGGGGAACCGCUGCCAUGUGCUAUUGGUCUGCUUAGAAUCAAGGAAGGGAGCAGAGAUCUCAUCUCCUAAUGGGAGAAGAGUCAAAGAAUUUGGGGGGACAUAUUUAAAAAACCCACAGCUCCUAACUUAGAAGCUUGGGAUUAUCACAUACACAUUACCGUAUAAUGAAAUAAUCAACAAGGACCUACUGCAUAGCGCAGGGAACUCUACUCAGUAUUCUGUGAUAAUCUGUAUGGGAAAAGAAUCUGAAAAAGAGUAGAUAUAUGUAUAUGUAUAACCAAACCAACCACUUUGCUGUACACGUGUGACUAACACAACAUUGUAAAUCAAUUAUAUUCCAAUAGAAAAUAAAAGUUAAAUUAAAAAGAUUAUGGCACAAG
ensembl:lncRNA